GGGUUAGGAGCUGAAACAGGGCCCAGCCAACCAGACAUUAUCAAUAUGUAGACAGAGUGUUUAACAGUCAAAAGGAUACAGUCUUACUGUCACAAGGCCAAAGACCCAGAAAGAGAUUCACCAUAGAGGGAGGAGACAUUUCUCCCUAACCACCGAUCAUCAUUUAACAGUGAAGACCCUGCUCCACAGGCCAGGUUGAUACUGUCCGUCGGUCUGGUCCGUCUGCUCUUCCUCAAGAGGAGGAAGUGGAGGACCUACGUAUUCUAUCUGGGAGGGAGGGAGAUUCCUAACCAGUGUUACAAAAGUAACACGUUACGUAAUCAGAUUACUUUUAUGAGUAACAGAGUAAAGUAACACAUUACUUUUUCAAAUUGGGUUCUAUUAUUACAGUUACUUCGACAACACAUGCGUUACUUUCAGAAUCAUCUCUCUACCAACAACCUGUCCUGUGUCUGUCUGUCUGUCCAGGUACAGAGAGCAUUAUGUCAACAACCUGUCCUGUGUCUGUCUAGGUACAGAGAGCAUUAUGUCAACAACCUGUCCUGUGUCUGUCUAGGUACAGAGAGCAUUAUGUCAACAACCUGUCCUGUGUCUGUCCGUCUAGGUACAGAGAGCAUUAUGUCAUUGCAUAAAUAAGUUGUUCUCAUUAAUGCGGGGUCUUUCUUGGUAGAGUGAUAUCACCUAUGAGUUCCCUGAUCAUAGCUCGGCUUCAGAUAGUUAGAAAAGAAAAAGAAGCUGUACAAAAAUUAUUUGGCAAUGUAAAGCUUCUCAAACAGACAGACAGACGACCGUCUACCAACGCUGAGCAGGAAUUACAAUAAUAAUGAUUUGAACAGGAGUCGCCGGAGGUGUCCCAUAUGGCACACGAUUCCCUAUAUAGUGCACUACUAUAGACCAGAGCCCUAUUCCCUAUAUAGUGUACUACUAUAGACCAGAGCGCUAUUCCCUAUAUAGUGCACUACUUUAGACCAGGGCCCUACUCCCUACAUAGUGCACUACUUUAGACCAGGGCCUUAUUCCCAAUAUAGUGCACUACUUUAGACCAGGGCCCUAUUCCCUAUAUAGUGUACUACUAUAGACCAGGGCCCUAUUCCCUAUAUAGUGUACUACUAUAGACUAGAGUCAUGUUAUCUAUAUAGUGCACUACUAUAGCCCAGAGCCCUAUUCCCAAUAUAGUGCUUUCCAAUAGUCCCCCGUAGGCAGUGAGGAGUGGGUGGGGGGAUAAUAAACAAUAAGCCAACAUGUGACCUUCUUCACCCCGUAGGGAGAGAGGAGAGGGAUAGAGGGAGAAAGGACAGAUUGAUUCCUGAAACCCGUUCCUGAGCAUGGUGGUCUGACUGAGGAAGGCGGGGGGGGAGUAUACAGGCUGGAGACAGGAGGAACCAGAGCACACAACGACGAGAGUCCAGAG
ensembl:lncRNA